UACGUAGGGUGCGAGCGUUAAUCGGAAUUACUGGGCGUAAAGCGUGCGCAGGCGGUGAUGUAAGACAGAUGUGAAAUCCCCGGGCUCAACCUGGGACCUGCAUUUGUGACUGCAUCGCUGGAGUGCGGCAGAGGGGGAUGGAAUUCCGCGUGUAGCAGUGAAAUGCGUAGAUAUGCGGAGGAACACCGAUGGCGAAGGCAAUCCCCUGGGCCUGCACUGACGCUCAUGCAUGAAAGCGUGGGGAGCAAACAGG
rnacentral:rRNA from 1 species